AUGACAAGUGAUUAUGUCCUGCCAAUGUUCACUGGCCAGUGCAAGGAGUGUGCUGACUGUAAGUUUGGUGACCUCCUUAGGAUAAAUAUCAACCAGGGCAUGCUGAUCGACGAUGGGCCAUCCCGCUUCACCAUCAGCUGGAAACUGGGGUGGGGCAUGGUCAGGCUGGUGGGUGUCCCGCGCAAGGAUGCGACGUACAAUACCCACCUGAUGAACUUCCUCAAUGAGAAGACCUUGAAAGGAAGCCAUUCUUUUACUCACCAAUCGACCAAAGUACCCUUGCCUCUUUCUCGCUCAGGCGUGGACAAGCUAGGUCGGCGAGUUAGGGUAGCUCGCGCAGGAAUCAAUGCCGUAUGGCGGGGAUCAACCAUGAUGACAUUGGAUAAGGUAGAAAGAGGCGUGAUGGCACUAGCCGCUGGAGGUGGAGAUGGAUGCGUGUGA
rnacentral:rRNA from 1 species